UGGGGAAUAUUGGACAAUGGGCGCAAGCCUGAUCCAGCAAUGCCGCGUGUGUGAAGAAGGUUUUCGGAUUGUAAAGCACUUUCGGCGGGGACGAUGAUGACGGUACCCGCAGAAGAAGCCCCGGCUAACUUCGUGCCAGCAGCCGCGGUAAUACGAAGGGGGCUAGCGUUGCUCGGAAUGACUGGGCGUAAAGGGCGCGUAGGCGGAUGUGACAGUCAGACGUGAAAUUCCUGGGCUCAACCUGGGGACUGCGUUUGAGACGUUAUAUCUUGAGUGAGGAAGAGGGUUGUGGAAUUCCCAGUGUAGAGGUGAAAUUCGUAGAUAUUGGGAAGAACACCGGUGGCGAAGGCGGCAACCUGGUCCUUGACUGACGCUGAGGCGCGAAAGCGUGGGGAGCAAACAG
rnacentral:rRNA from 1 species